rnacentral:rRNA from 1 species
UACGAAGGAGGCUAGCGUUGUUCGGAUUUACUGGGCGUAAAGCGUGCGCAGGCGGCUUCUCAAGUCAGGGGUGAAAGCCCAGAGCUCAACUCUGGAAUUGCCUUUGAGACUGAGUGGCUUGAGUACGAGAGAGGUGAGUGGAAUUCCCAGUGUAGAGGUGAAAUUCGUAGAUAUUGGGAAGAACACCGGUGGCGAAGGCGGCUCACUGGCUCGUAACUGACGCUCAUGCACGACAGCGUGGGGAUCAAACAGG